UUUCCGGUUGAUCCUGCCGGACCUGACUGCUAUCGGAUUGAUACUAAGCCAUGCGAGUCUUUGCAGUAAUGCAAGGCAUACGGCUCAGUAACACGUAGUCAACUUACCCUAUGGACGAGGAUAAUCUCGGGAAACUGAGCAUAAUACUCGAUAGAUCAUAAUGCCUGGAAUGGUUUAUGGUUGAAAUGAUUCGUCGCCAUAGGAUGGGACUGCGGCCUAUCAGCUUGUUGGUGAGGUAAUGGCCCACCAAGGCGAUUACAGGUACGGGCUCUGAGAGGAGAAGCCCGGAGAUGGGUACUGAGACAAGGACCCAGGCCCUAUGGGGCGCAGCAGGCGAGAAAACUUUGCAAUGUGCGAAAGCACGACAAGGUUAAUCCGAGUGAUUUCUGCUAAAGAAAUCUUUUGCAAGUCAUAAAACCACUAGUGAAUAAGGGGUGGGCAAGUUCUGGUGUCAGCCGCCGCGGUAAAACCAGCACCUCAAGUGGUCAGGAGGAUUAUUGGGCCUAAAGCAUCCGUAGCCGGCUCUGUAAGUUUUCGGUUAAAUCCAUGUGCUCAACAUAUGGGCUGCCGAAAAUACUGCAUAGCUAGGGAGUGGGAGAGGUAGACGGUACUCGGUAGGAAGGGGUAAAAUCCUUUGAUCUAUCGAUGACCACCUGUGGCGAAGGCGGUCUACCAGAACACGUUCGACGGUGAGGGAUGAAAGCUGGGGGAGCAAACCGGAUUAGAUACCCGGGUAGUCCCAGCUGUAAACGAUGCAGACUCGAUGAUGCAUUGGCAUAUAGCCAGUGCAGUGUCGCAGGGAAGCCGUUAAGUCUGCCGCCUGGGAAGUACGUACGCAAGUAUGAAACUUAAAGGAAUUGGCGGGGGAGCACCACAAGGGGUGAAGCCUGCGGUUCAAUUGGAGUCAACGCCGGAA
rnacentral:rRNA from 1 species